CUCAUCUCCAGCUCCCUCCCCAAUCACUCUCCCGAGCUCAAAGAGCUCUCUUCGCAGCCCAUCGCCGCCGUGGUCGCCUCAGCCCACAGGCUAAAUUCGGAUGAGCCGAACCCCCUCACUCCAUUCUGCUGCCACCAUCCUAUUCCCCACUCCUCGGUGCACCUCCUCCACCCCUCGCCCCCUCGCCGGAGUAGCAGAAGGCUCCGUCUUCAAGUUCAACCGCCACCGGAGCCGCCUCUGUUCCCCUCUCCUCGCGGUCGCCCCGCCCCUCUCCGGUGCCGUCUGACCUUGGGGACGGGUGCGGCCGGUCCUCCCGCGCCCGUCGGUGGCCUCGGCUUGGCCGGGGACUGCCGAAGCUGCCCGGGUCAUUGCCGGCGUCGAGCUCUUCUCUCUGCAUCGCGGGCGGCGUCGGGAAGGAGAAGAAGGCCCCGUCCCCUCCCUGCCAGCUGGCCGGUGGGCCUCGCGGUCCCACCCGUCAGCCGCACACCCCGCUGACCCCACCACCGCUGAGGUGGAUAAGUGGAAGCGGUAUUCUAGAAAUACGUUUUCUUGCGAUGAAAGCGUACUCUGGUGUUCUGCAGUCAGAAAUGCGUUUUCACUUCAAUGAAAGCGUAUUCUCUGGAUUGCACGUUUUGUUUUUCUAGCCGAGGGCCUGUUUGUGAUGAUUUCUUUACAAAUAGGUCCCUGCCAGGAAAACAUUCAUAUCUUUUUACUCCCAACUCCAAAUCAGCCCCCUCCGAGAGAGUAUGUUUUUCGGCGAUCCUUUCCGCGAGUUUCUCGCACUUUCUCCCGGUGAUUUCUUCCACCCCAGGCAAGCCACACCCUCCAUUUGCAUCACUGUAAUGCAGUGACAUGGUUUAAUCUAUUUGAACUUGUUUAAAAUAUUGCUUUAGCUACAUGACUUUGUGCAUGUCAUUUUCUCGGAGUAUUAUGUUGAUCUUGUUGUUGCAAUGCUAUUGUUUGGAUUACUAGGAUUUAUGUUUGUAGUUGAUGAGUAUCAUGUUGCCAUUGGAUUAUUAGUGGUUGGUAUUAUUAUUAUUUCCAUGAUGGUAUCUGUUAUUAUAUUUUGGAGUAUUACUUUGGAUAUCAUGCUGCCUUUGGAUUAUUAGUGGUUGGUAUUAUUAUUAUUUCCAUGAUGGUAUCUGUUAUUAUAUUUUGGAGUAUUACUUUGGAUAUCAUGCUGCCUUUGGAUUAUUAGUGGUUAGUAUGAUUAUUUUCAUGAUGCUAGUUGAUGUUCUGUUGCUUGGAGUAUUAUUUUCGGAAAUGAUGUUUACAUGUGGAUCUUAGCCGAAUAGCUUUAUUCUUGUUAUUGGACUAGUAGGAUUAUUGUUUUCGGAUCCAUCAUGACAGUAGUGUUGCGCUACCCUUGGAGUAUUUUGAGAUGAUGAUAUUAUGCUUGAAUUAUUUGUUGGAUAUUGCUAUGAUUUGGAUUAUAGUUUGAUAGUUGAUAUCGGAGUAUCAGUUACCACAAUUAUAUUUUUGGGGAUAAAUUCUGUCAUUAAGUUGGUCAGGUGCCGCCGAACCGGGCUUUCUCCAGUGCAACCACAUUUGCCUUUUUGGGAAGGCCCUAAUGCGGUCUAUUGUCGUGCCUCUUGCCGGUGCCUCCAACUAGGGAAGGUUAUGGGCGUGCGUACCCUGGCCCGGUAAGCAGACAUAACCUUGUGUGCCCGUUGUUGUUGUUGUACCCGGGUUAUCCCUGUGUGGGACCGUUUAUUGUUUUGGCCACGACGGUGGCCGUUGGUGUCUUUGGUAGACACGGGGCCACCCAGGACUAGCCCAGUGGGGAGUGAGUCGGAGUGGCCGGGAGAGUGUCAUGGCAGUAGAUCGGUUUUGUCGGAACGCCGUUGGUCCACCCGAAUGGGAGUGCGAGGCCAUGGGUUCCGUGGUGUGGGUACAGUGCGCUACCUCUGCAGAGUGUAUUUAAUCUAUCGAUAGUCGCAUCCGUAUUAGGUCCCACCGUUCGAUCAACACUCACAUGACGGAAUGACUUAUUUGUGAUAUAUAUAUGUUGAUAUUUUGAGCAGUACAGAAUGGCAGGAUGUUGAUGAUGAUGUUGGAGACCAAGUGUUGGUCAUGGUUGUGAUCGCCGGAAAGAUCACCAUUUGGUUUUAAUCACGAGGUGGUCGAGAUGGUAUAUUGCUUGGCCGGUUAGCCAAGAGAGAUAUGGUUAUGGAGAUCUGAGAUGGUGAUUUAUCAGUAUUGUAUCAGUUUCAUACCAUGCUUAGUAGUUGCCGGCGUAUCAUGAUAGGUGUUAAUUUAAUUAACCUGCUUAAUGCUAUGUUAUUGCCUUGCCUUGAUGUUUAUGGUUGUUGUGAGCUUGCAAGUACAUUCAAUGUACUGACCUGGCGUGUCAUGCCAGAUUGCAGGUGAUGCCAUGUUUGCUUGAUUGCUGGUCAAGGUUGCCGUGCGUGCGAGCUAGAUCGUGUCCCAGCCAGAGUCCCUGCGGAGUGGAGUUCACCACCUUCGUCGUUGUUCCGCUGCUAGAAGUAUUCCGCUGUUACGAGUUGUUUCACUACUAGCAUAGAGCAAGUAUAGUAUCGCAGGCGUAGUGUCGCCGUGCUGAUGUGCUUCUUUGUAACAUCAGACCCGUGUAAUUUUUAUUCUUGUAAUAAGAGAUGAAUUGUUCUAUGUCAAGCAGUGACGUAUUCCAGAGA